UACGAAGGGGGCUAGGCGUUGCUCGGAAUCACUGGGCGUAAAGGGUGCGUAGGCGGGUCUUUAAGUCAGGGGUGAAAUCCUGGAGCUCAACUCCAGAACUGCCUUUGAUACUGAAGAUCUUGAGUUCGGGAGAGGUGAGUGGAACUGCGAGUGUAGAGGUGAAAUUCGUAGAUAUUCGCAAGAACACCAGUGGCGAAGGCGGCUCACUGGCCCGAUACUGACGCUGAGGCACGAAAGCGUGGGGAGCAAACAGG
rnacentral:rRNA from 1 species